rnacentral:rRNA from 1 species
UACAGAGGUCCCAAGCGUUGUUCGGAUUCACUGGGCGUAAAGGGUGCGUAGGUGGCCAGGUAAGUUUGAUGUGAAAGCUCGGAGCUUAACUCCGAAAUGGCAUUGAAUACUAUCUGGCUUGAGGGUCGGAGGGGAGACUGGAAUUCUCGGUGUAGCAGUGAAAUGCGUAGAUAUCGAGAGGAACACCAGUGGCGAAGGCGAGGCUCUGGACGACACCUGACACUGAGGCACGAAAGCGAGGGGAGCAAACAGG